GUCUAGUCCAAGUAUAGUGGUGUUUACAACUAAUUGAUCACAACCAGUUCCUUCUCCCCAGGCACUGCUUCACUUGACUAGCCUUAA
ensembl:Y_RNA Y_RNA Y RNA